AAUAGCGUAUAUUAAAGUUGUUGCGGUUAAAAAGCUCGUAGUUGGAUCUCAGUCCAAGCUAGAGGGUCCACCGGUUGGUGGUUACUCUCUAGCUGGACAUUUUACCGAGCCGUCCCUUGAUGCUCUUUACCGAGUGUCUUGGGCGAUCGGUACGUUUACUUUGAAAAAAUUAGAGUGCUCAAAGCAGGCGAUCCCGCCCGAAUAAUCUUGCAUGGAAUAAUAGAAUAGGACCUCGGUUCUAUUUUGUUGGUCUUCGGAACCCGAGGUAAUGAUUAAUAAGGACAGACGGGGGCAUUCGUAUUGCGGCGCUAGAGGUGAAAUUCUUGGACCGUCGCAAGACGAACUACAGCGAAAGCAUUUGCCAAGAAUGUUU
rnacentral:rRNA from 1 species